CCCGGGAUUUAAACCUCUCUGUCCCGUCAGGUUUCAAACCUUACUCCGCCCCAUACACUUUAUUCUCCGUCCCUUGAACAGUGAAUUAUUCAGCUUGGAUUACUGAUCUAAGAUCUGGUUAAAGUGAACAAUGGAAUAGUUUUCAUCUUAUAGUGUGAAUUCAGUAUUUAAUCAGUGAAAUAAAUCAAGAUUUAUGUAUUAAAAAACUAAAACUAACCCAACGUAGAAUGUGAGGGUUAACAGAGUGGGAGACAGGUCAUGCCUGUCCCUAUCAGCUCAUGGCAGGUGUACUCACCCAAUAUAAUCAGGGAUCCUCUAUGGCCGUGGCGAGAUUUCAACUCCCAGG